CAAAACAAUGUAAGAAACUAUCCUAAUGUCAGGUUUAGAUACAUUGCAGUUGGAAAUGAAGUGAGUCCAUUGAAAUCGGACACAUCUCAGUAUGUACCAUUUGUCCUCCCUGCCAUGAGAAAUAUUCAAACUGCAAUUUCAGCAGCUGGACUUGGGAACCAGAUUAAGGUUUCUACUUCCAUUGAAACUGGUAUGAUCGAAAAUUCUUAUCCUCCAUCAAAUGGUGUAUUUCGAGCUCAAGUUCGAGACUAUAUUCAAGGGAUCAUUCAGUUCUUGGUAAACAACAGAGCCCCUCUACUUGUCAACAUAUACCCCUAUUUUGCACGCACUGGUAAUCCGCAACAGAUUACUCUCGAGUAUGCUCUUUUUACGUCAGAUGGAAUCGUAACGCCUGAUGGAACGCGGUACCAAAAUCUUUUCUACGCCUUAUUAGAUGCCAUGUACGCAGCCCUUGAAAAGUCUGGUGGCUCAUCUCUGGAAAUUGUUGUAUCCGAGAGUGGUUGGCCUUCGGCUGGAGGACAAGACGCGUCCAUUGAUAACGCAAGGACCUAUAACACGAAUUUGGUGCAACGUGUAAAGACAGGAACCCCAAAGAGGCCUGGAAGAGCAAUAGAAACUUACAUUUUUGCUAUGUUUGAUGAAGAUCAGAAGAGCCCCGAGUAUGAGAAAUUUUUCGGGCUCUUUCGACCAAACAAACAAGCUAAGUACCCAAUCAGCUUUAACUAAUUCUAGAUAACAAGUGUAUCAAUAAGGAGGAUAAUACUCUAGAUCUGGGACUUACAAGUUCUAAAUAAGAACUCCUCCAGUUUAUUUGACAAGCAAUAAAGAGCAGCAUGAAUAGUCAACUACGAUGGCAAUAAAGAAGGAAUUGAAUCAACAGUGAGCUACUUUCUAUUCUGUUUAUGUUUUUUCUUUUUUUCUUUUUUUUUUAUUUUUUUUUUUUUGAAUCCGUAAACAGACCAAAGGACUGCUGCAACAGAUUCUAUUGAAAGGAUAUUAAACUUCAUAAAUGAAUAAAGAUACUUUCAUUUAAUCGUGUGGUUAAAAAAUGAAUUAAACUAUAUGUACUGAAUCUUGAUGACCGAAUCGAUGCCCUACUCUCACAUGCGCGUGGGCCCCACACACAUUUAAAAAUUCCGAACUAUGGACCCCGCCCUCUUAUUGUGAGUGUAGGUAAAAUAUUAGGUAAGAAAGUGAAUGUAAGUGUAACAUGGUCCUUAAAAAAUACUCAUUUGACUAUUAAAGAACAGAUGUGGGCUCUAAGGUGCGUUUACAACUUCAUUGUCCUUUAAAAUGUUAACUGGCUAUCGCAAGUUGUGGUGUACAAAAGUUGAUAAAAUAUGUGUUUGAAAAAUUGUGGAUCGUAUGAAAUGUGCAGUUAAAAUUAAUUGUUAAAUUUAAUUCUAACUGUCAGCUGGUUGUUAAGGUGACAGCUUCAAGCCUAAUUUCUGGUGGCACAUCCCUUACACAAACCACCUUACUCUUGAGUUGUCAAUUGCGAAGUAGUACCGUGAGGAAUUUAAUUAACUUUUUAACUAUGGGCUAUAUAUAUAUUUGUGACUUUGAAAGUGAGGUAACCUGUCCUGAUGUCUUUUCUACGAAGACAUCAUUUUUUCUAGGUCUUUUUGUCUCCUAAAGAGAAUUCUAUUAUCAACUCAUGAUCUAGGUUAACAAUUAUUUACAUAGUAAGUAUGAAGGAAUCAGUUUCUUUUAUAUAUAUAUAUAUAUACUUUUUUUUUUUUUUUUUAAAGAUCAUUUAAAUAGACCAAAUGUUGAAGGAUAAAUACUCCAGUUAAGUGCUUUAAGACCCGUAGGAGAGAUUUGAACCCUUAGUAAACAAACAAAAUCCUACAUAACAACUCAAUGCUAUGUCUCAAAUCACUCUUAUCAUUUAUUUUGUAUAGUCCUAUUUGGCAAAGAUUAAAAUAAGAUUUAUAGUAGAUUUUGAUAAAAGUUAAUGAAAUGUAUAGUUAAAAAGUUUUGAAUCUCAUGAAAUAUGUGAUUAAAAUUAAUUAUUGAUUUUGAUUUUUAUAAAAAGUUAUAUUUAUAUAUAUUUUACGCAUGAUUUCAUCUAAUUCAAGAUAACUCUCUACUUAAUUCCUCAAACUAUUGGUUAGUAAACAAUAAGGUCAUUGGACUAGACCAAUAACUAAUAAGGUCAUUAAACUUUAAUAAUAGUAUACAAAGUCCUAAAUUUAANNNNNAACCAUAUUAUUUAAUACUUGACUCCUGCAGGGAUUCUAUCCCAGGCAUAAUUAUGGCAUCGAUCCAAUUCCUUCACCUAAUAGGACUCCGCUGGAUAGAGAUACCCAACUAGUUGAGUCCUACUAGGAGAAGGCUGCUUACUACUAUAAAUACAGGACCAUGGGUUAUUGGUCAGGUACGUUUUCAUUAUUCUCUAGUUUAUAGCUUGACGCACAUAAUUCCCUUUCUGACUUAAGCAUCGGAGGAGCGACGAGAACAUACCUAGUUGCCUUUGUUUCAGGUACCGAAAGACUAUGAUCAUGCUCAUUCAAAAUCCUCAAUCUCAGGAAAUCACCAAGUACGAUUUUUGGUAGUAUCAGGUCCAUAGAACUUAGUUUUAUUGUUUGAGUUCAGAGUGAACAUCAAAACUUAUGGAAUAAUCCUCUAGCUUCGCCUAAUUCAAAACCUAAGGUAAUUACUUUUGCCUUUUGGCUCGGGUAGUUACCACUAACCCUUCAAAUUUGCUUCUUCCCACUCUACUGAAAGAUUUAAAAUGAACCUCAUGUACCCAAAAAUGCAACAUCGACAUAAUUGAUUACUCUUUCAACCCUAAAAAAUAGACUUGCUCUAGAUAACACUUGAGCAAGAUAUGGAUAAUUGUGUGAUUUCCAUACCGACGUCAACAAAAAACAUCAGCUCUCUAACUAAAUAAGAAAAACCUGAUCACCCUUCUCAUCUAAACUAAUUAUCAAAUGCAAUAGACAUAGUUACACCAUAAAUCAAAUCUUUUCCAUCGAAAGAUGAUAGAAUUAAAUCAAGUAACAAUUCAUAUUCACCAACACAAGACAAGAAAUUGUUUGAAAUUAAAUCAAGGAGGAUAAGUUACAUUGGCGGACCUACUCAUGGUCCUAGUGGGUCAAGUGACCCCCCAUCUAUCAAGAUAUAUAUAUAUAUUUUUAUUUUUAUUUUUUUUUUUUUUUUUUUUUUUUUUUUUUUUUUUUUAAAAGAUCAUUUAAAUAGACCAAAUGUUGAAGGAUAAAUACUCCAGUUAAGCGCUUUAAGACCCGUAGGAGAGAUUUGAACCCUUAGUAAACAAACAAAAUCCUACAUAACAACUCAAUGCUAUGUCUCAAAUCACUCUGAUCAUUUAUUUUAUAUAGUCCUGUUUGGCAAAGAUUAAAAUAAGAUUUUUAGCAGAUUUUGAUAAAAGUCCCUAAAAUGUAUAGUUAAAAAGUUUGAAUCUCAUGAAAUAUGUGAUUAAAAUUAAUUAGUGAUUUUGAUUUUAAUAAAAAAUUAUGUUUACAUAUAUUUUACGCAUGAUUUCAUCUAACAUUCAAGAUAACUCUCUACUUAGGUCCUCAAACUAUUAGUUAGUAAACAAUAAGGUCAUUGGACUAGGCCAAUAACUAAUAAAGUCAUUAAACUUUAAUAAUAGUAUACAAAGUCCUAAAUUUAAAUCAAACUACUAUUGAGAAAAAUUCGAGAUGUUACAAUAAGUCCUCAAUUUAAAUCUAACCACUACCUAAGAUAUAUUUAUCAUUAUGGCAAUCCACAAUUACCAUAGAAAUAUCUAAUAACGCAUGAAUCCACAUAGUGAACCACACUGCAAUAAUGUGAAGGUAUCAAACCUAAAUUAAUUGCAAUCCACGAUUACCUACAUUUGUAUGAGAAUGGGUCUGGGACGUAACACACUUCUUUAACUUUUAAGAUUAUCAAGUUUACAUUCCAGAUUACCGAUUAGUUCAACCUUACGUGCGGAACUGUGCUAACCAAAGGAAAUAGGUAUCUUUUAAUUAGUUUCUAGAUGAUCAAGCAUACAAUUCAAUUAACCCUAUGUUUGAAUACCAUAGUUUCUAAUAAAUUGUUGAAAAGUAAAGAACACAAAAUUUGAUGACAGAGAAACCCAAUGUGGGAAAAACUCCGGGAGCAAGCCAGUUACCUCCACUAUAGAUAGUUCAAAGAAUAAAUAGCAAUUCCACAUCUUGUACCCAUUAAGACCCUUUGUUACAAUCUCACGAUCUACUAUUAUAAACCCCUCUAGCCUGCUAGACCUCUUGUAGCCUCCUGCUAUAGUAGAUACCUCUAGCUUCCUGCUAGACUUCUUGAUCUACCUCCUACAACCCAAUCUAUUGUCUUAUACAGCCUCCUAGUCUUAUGCUGAAUGUCUCUCCAAGUAGAACACCAAGAACCCCAUGUUCUUGUGCUCAUAAUUGUGCUUCAAUCCACCUCUCUCAAUCCCCUAAUGAGAGAGUCAUUUCCUCAAAAGAUUAAGGAAGCACGGUAUUUUGGAUUCUCGAACCUUUGAUGUUUUUACAAAACUCGAUUGCCGGAUCACAAGAAUAAAUAUGAUGGACUCACCAAUGAAUUGCGCAUUAGAUCUCUUGAACAAUGAUAUGAAAGUGUUGUAGACAUGAAAGCACAAUGAGCAACCUUGAGAAAAAUCAUCCAUGACUCUAAUAUUUAUAGUUGGGAGCAAAUAGGUGUCAUGGGCAGUUUAAAAUUUUCAAGUCGCGACCUAGGGUUUUGCCAUGUGGCACUGUCGCUCGAGCGAUACUCUAGCAAGAAGCGAGCAACGGCUUCUUCUCUUAAGCGACGCAAGGGCGACAAGCAGGCCACGAUGGUUGUGCUUCAACCGCUCGAGCAACAACUUGACAAGCAACUAGUGAAAAUCCAACAAGUCUUCUACUUUUUUCCAAACUCAACCUUAGCCUAAGCCAUCUACACAAAUUUCAACCCAAGUACUAGUUACAACAUGUUCAACUUAGUCCAUUUUGUUCACAAAAUCACAAGUUACAAUAUAAAACAUAACAAACUUUCUCUUUGGCAUUCUGUGAUAAAACUAUACAAAUGAAGUCAAGACUUGAAAAUAAAAAACUAUUCUACCCAGUAUACCUAAUUACUAAGUCUUGCAUUCCUUGUUGUAUCUGUUUCCUGAAAUCCAAAAAUUCACUUACCUAGUGUAAAAGUACGUGAUACAGGAAAUAUAUAAAUUUAAGCACUUAACAAUAAAUCAAAAUGCUAGUUUGAGAUGCGACAUUGAUGCCAAUCAAAACACCAAUAUCACUAAACAUCAAAACUCAAACAGCAAUGGAUGUGAUAUGGAACGGAAUGUAAUGCAAUGCUCCCCCUUAUUGAAAACUCUCAUGAAUUUUGAUGCAAUAAUACAAAUGUAUCUAUGUCUCUUCCCAAUGAUGCAUAGACAUAGCAAUGCAAAAUACAAAAUGUCAAUCAAACAGUGAAAACAGUGCACAUGCAAAUGCAAAAUCACUUCUCCUAUAUAUAGCUCAUCUCAUUUCUUCCCCUCAAUUACACAUUUUUCUCCCCAUUUUUGUCACAAAUACUGAAGAGAACACUAUCAAAAUCAAAUAGAGCAUAAUAAUAUAAAAAUGCAGUUGAUAGCAUGUACAAGUAAAAUCAAUAGAGCAUAAACCUUCCCAUAUACUUAGUUCAUAUCAGAAUGGAGUAAAUAGUACAAGUGACUCAUGCGUGUAGAGUGUCACUAAUCCAAUGCAAAUAGGACUCCAAACGUUAAUUUUGUGAGAAAUGACAUGCUAAUCACUGUCAAUAAGUAUAUUUCCCUACUAAUGAAAGUCAAACCAUGAAAGUACAAUAGAAUUUAUACUUAUUAUUUUUUACAUUUCUCCCCUUUUUUUUAGCAUUUAUAUUUUAUAAUUUUCCAUAUUUUUUCAGCUAAUCAUAUUUUUCACAUUUGUUUACAUUUUUCAAACUUAUUUAUUUUUCAUCUUAAGUGCAGGUUUUUCUCUAUUAGGCGACUAAGAGGAUCCCUGUAACGAGUUUUAGGCCGAUUAACCCAAGUCAAUUGACCAUAGGCACCAAGUUUAAAAGAACCCGCAUGCUUAAUUGCUCGAGUCAAAUAGGCCCCAAAGAAGAAUAUUAAGAUAAAGAGCUUUUACAUGGGGGAAUAUUUUCAGGCUUAGGUCUACUAAAUUUGGUCAAUUCAUGUUCGAAGUCACCCUAUUAACAUGUGACAGCCAUCCCAAAUCUCGCUCACGCAGUAGAGUCUCACAAACAAAUUUAUAGUGUGUGCAGUGCAGAUAGUAUAUGAAGACACUUAUAAUAAAUAAUUCAAAAUGAUCUAAACAAGUAACAGAAAUUAUUCUACAGUUUAUCAACUUUAGCUCAUACAUUAUCACAACAUGUAAGUUCAAGAACUAUAUGUCAUGUUGUAGAACUGUUCCAACUAUUUUUGGUGUUUUUCUAUUUUUCAAUUUUUUUUGUUUUUCAUUUUUCCAAAAAUGAAUGCUCACGCACUAGAAAAACAAAGUCAAGCACACAACACAAAAACAAAAUAUGCAUGUGCCGAUGCAACCAAUGUAAAUGUACAUGCAUGAAACCAAAAACAAAGCAAAAGAAAAAUAAACACAUAUAAUUGAUGCAUGCACAAAUAAUAUGACAAUUAAGAAUAGACAUGCAUCAAAAAUAGAAAUACCUAAUCAUCUAGGUAUAUAAGUGAUAUUUCCUUUAAGAGCACUGUGAUCUGCUAUAAUAUUGGGAGAUCACUCUUCUUUACCCAAACCUGUCUAGUAGGAGAACAGUUCCUAGACAGUUGUGUCACAAAUUUGGUCAAACAAUUCACUCAAUUGAUAAGAAAUCCAAUCUGACCAACAAACACCUGAUUCUUGUUGUUUUUCAAGUUCAUAUUUUUCAUUUUGUUCAGGUACUGAUGACAUCUAGGGCGGAUAUGACCUAACUCACCACAAUGAAAGCAUAUCGCGAUAAACCUAGGACUUGUGUUAUGUGAACGCUAACGUCUAUUUCUAGGCCGACGGUCCUACGUUGUCUCGUAGACCUCUAUCCUACAAAUCCCUUUUCUAACUUAGAUGAUCUACUAGUGAAGUCAAGCAGUUGAGACUUAGAAUGCUCUAACUCGCUCACAAGGUUCACAACCUGAAUGUCUAAAGUCUCAUUCAUGAUAGUCAAUUUGCUGACUUUCCUAGAGGACCUCUCAAGCUUAUUGGUAAGAUUCUUAACCUGAGACUCUAAAGAUUCAUUUAUCGACUUAAGCUCACACUGGAAAGUGGAAGAUUCCUUAAGGCACUACACCAAAAAUGGUCUAUUGCAACACAUAAAAGGCAACAUUCGGUAAUUAAGUGUUGCUAAAAGGGUCUAUUGCAACAUUUGAAUAAGUGAAUGUUAAAAUUAGUCAUUAAAAUUGAGUUUUAGCAACAUUUUUUAAAUAAAUGUUGCCAAUGAUACUUUUCACGACGUUUUUGGAAAGUUGCGAAAUGUUUUAGUUUUUGCAACGUUUAAAAAACGUUGCGAAAAGUUUGCCUAUUGCAACGUUUUAAACGUUUAAAAAACAUUGCGAAAAGUCUACCUAUUGCAACGUUUUUUUAAAACGUUGCAAUAGGUAGACUAAAAAAACGUUGCAAUAGGCAGACUUUUCGCAACGUUUUUUAAAUGUUGCAAAAGAUGUCUUUCGCAACGUUUAUAACGUUGCUGAAGGUUGACUUUGUUGCAACAUUUUUUAAAUGUUGCAAAAGGUAGACUUUUCGCAACGUUUUUUAAAAGUUGCCAAAGGUAGACGUUUUGUAACAUUUUUUAAAUGUUGCAAAAGAUUAAUGGGCCUUUUUGUUUGGAUUGUUGGGCCUUUCGAUUUAGAAGCCCAAGAGAAAAACGUUAAGGCCUUAACUCCCAGCAGACAAUAGCCCAUUAACCUAAAUAUGUAGCCCAAUAAUACCAAUAGUCAUUACCCAUUUAUGAUUUUUGAUUCAUUUGUUCACUUAAUUCCAUUCCCAUAACCCCACCAUUCCUUUGCAAACCAUUUGAAAGAAUUCCCAAAAAAUUAAAAUCCAUCUUCACCUUGUCCCUGCCCAUAGCCGCCGGCUGAAUGGAACCGCCGAUUGCCAACUCACUGUCAGGCCGUGAGUGACGGACUCUCACCGAUUCACCGCCUCACGCCUGGCUACCAACAUGGGUUAGGUUUUACGGUAAGUAAUCUACGUUAUGAUGUUGAAAUUUCUGGUUGCUAGCAAUUUCUUGGGGAAAGAUGUCCUAAUUAUAAUGGACCUCGACGGUUUGCCUUUAUGUUAUAAUUGCUUGCUACAUUACAACUGCAUUCUAGUUGUUGAGUAGUUAACAUAAUGUUGUCGCCGCUAUUUCUCUUUGCACUUGCACUUAAAGAAGCAAAUUGAUCUGUUAUGACAUUUUUGGGGCUUGAUGUUGGAUAGUCUGGAGAUAUUCUGCUGUGAUAAGAAUGGUCUGGAAACAUAAAGUACUGGAAUAUUAGAGAAAUGAGAUAUCAUUGAUGGAGAACCAGGAGACUGUUGCUUUUAUAAAAAUAUUCAAACGGAUAGGAACAGAAUAAUGAGUUCUUUGGUCAAACAACUAGCAUGGAACGAAUUAUAUUUGUGUUUGUAGUGCAAAGAGAAUUAAAUCUGUCUUAAUUGAAACUACAUGCUAUAUAUUGUUGAACACAUGACUUUUUCCUUGCUUCUUUUGAAGUGAUUAGUAUUAUUAGCAAGGGGAUGAAAUAUAUUUGUGUUACUGUAAAGAGAAUUAAAUGUGAUUUAAUUGAGACCACAUGCUGUAUCUUGUUACGUAUUUGAACUUUUCCUUGCUUCUUUUGAAGUGAUUGGUAUCAUUAGGAGGAAGGCAUUGAUUAAAGACUUGGCUGCUGCAUACCACAUUGAGUGCCUUACGUAUUGUAGGAACCUUUAGAACUUCAAAGUAAAGUUGACGAGGAAAAAAUUCUCAUGCCACAUAUUUUCUUUGUUUUCUCUCAAUCAUGCUUUUCUUAUUGAUUCUUAACAUAACUGCAAAUUGUGAUUUAUUUGGAUGGUUUAUUUACUAUAUUGAUACUUGGCACUAUUAUUCAUCUGUAAUUCAUUUGCUCAAAAUGUAUUGCUCCUUAAAUUACAUCAUGAUUGAAUUUGAUCUUGUAGUUCAGAAUUUACAAAUAGGCAUAAUCUUGUGUUGCUAUGGAACCGUGGGCGAGAAAUCUUAGAUGUUCCUUCACUAUUCAUAUACUUGUUGAAAUAGUUGCUGCACAGUCGUAAUGGAUAAUAAAAGCGUAUGGUUUUACCUAAUUCUUAUUUUAAUUAUUGUUGAUGAAUGAAAAUUCGCAAUUCUGCAACAAGUGUUGUUAAGCAAAAGUUGUUUUCGAAAACUUCGAUUUUCAAAACUCACUUUACAUGUAUAAUAACUUUUGUAAUUUUUGUAUCAUUAUACAGAAUGUGGAAGAUAGAAAUUCAAAUACUUUUACUCAGGUUUCCGUUUCCUAUAUUAUUAAAUGUUUAUUUAAUAUAUAUUCAGUUUGUAGCAUUCUAAUUUUAAAAAGAAUACUUUCUGUUUAUUAUGAAUUUGUAGUCACACUAAGGAAGUGGUGCCCAAGGAAGUACUACCCCUAAGACAAAUGCAAGAUGUCAACUGUUGCAUUGGUAUAUGUUUGAGGAGGAAGAAGUCGUAGCAAAAGGGAAGAUUGCCACAACAGAUCCAAGUGCAAAGGUGCAUCACUUGCCACUCGGUCGAGACUGUUGAAAGGUUUGGGCUGAGGAAGUCUAUAUGGGUAAUUUGACCCUAUACAGACCCACAGAUGAAUUCCGCACUCUUAGUGAAGUCAUGGGAAGUACUGUUGCUUGGCCAAAGAGUAGUAUUAGACUUCUUGAUUAAGGUAUUAGACUCUUAGUGGCAAUGGUAUUGAUCAAGUAACAUGCGACGAUUUCAAGUUUAAGUUUCGAUUUUUGUAGUUUCCUAAUUACAUUUUGGUAGUAAAUGUUUGGAGACUCUUAAUUUUAUUUUGGAAGAGAUUAUGUGUUGAAUAUUUUACAAAUUUAAUGAGUAAUGUGUUUUUUAGUUUAUUAUUUUGGUGGUACAUGUUUGUUAGUUUUGAAUGGCUUAUUUGAUCAAAGAACAAGAUUUUUAGUAGUGUUAAGCAUAGAUAAAAAAAUGUGAAUUAACUAUUACAACGUUUGUUAAAUGUUGCAAUAGAUAGGUUAUUGCAACAUCUUUCCAAACGUUGCAAUAGCCUAUGUAUUGCAACGUUUGUAAUAUCUAUCUAUUGCACCGUUUAAAAAAUGUUGCAAUAGAUAGGCUAUUGCAACAUCUUUCCAAUAUUGCAAUAGCCUGUCUAUUGCAACAUUUAGGAAAUGUUGCAAAAGCCUAGAUAUUACAACACCUUUUAAACGUUGCAAAAGCCUAGAUAUUGCUAAACGUUGCAAUAGAUAGGCUUUUGCAACAUUUGCUAAACGUUGCAAUAAACUAGGCUUUUGCAACAUUUUUUAAACGCUGCAAAAAGUCUUACCUCAACAGCAACAUCAAGCUUCGCAACAUACGCUCAAAUGCUACAAAUGACUUUUUGCAACGCUUUUUGACCGUUGCAAUAGCCCUUUGUUGGUGUAGUGAGGUACGCUUCAAACUUAGCUUUCUCCAAUUGUAGCUCUUGAACAGUUGUACUUAACGCCUUCUUUUACUGAGAAUUUUUAGGCUCUCCCGAUACAAUUUCUCAUAGGCCUCUUUAAUAUCUUCCUCAUUUAGAGACUCAUCACCAGAAUCCUCACCUCUAUUUGUGUUCUCAUCCUUCUUACUCUCCUGUUCGAAUCCAUUUUGACCCUAGCAACGAAGAAAACGUAUUUUCCACUUUCCUCACGAGUGGAUUUCUCACUCUGAUUGUUCGAGCUAGACCCGUCAUCAGUGAGAGUAUUAUUUAUAGACUUCUCUUUAACUCUCUUAGCACUAGAGCAUUCCUUCUUAACAUGACCUAUACUUUGACAGUUAUGGCACCUCACAGAUUUAGAUCUUUUCCUAGAUUCACUCGGGCCACCUUUCUGUCUCUUUUGUAGUUUCCUCUUAUUCCUAAGCAUCUUAUGGAAUGCUUUAGCUAGGUAGGCCAUCUCCUCAUUAUUUGGUGAAUCUGAGUCAGAAGAUUUAGCCUAAUUAUUCCUUGUAGAUUUCAAGGCCAAGGAUUUUUUUCUUAGCUAGGUUACGUAAGGAAAGGUCAUAGGUCUAGAGGAUCCAACUAGCUCUUCUAUCUCAAUAAUGUCUAUGUCCUUACUUUCCUCAAUUGCCGUGACUUUAGGCCUUAAAUGCUUGAGUAAGGAUCUAAGGAUUUUUCUCACUAUCUUAGGCUCGGGAAUUUUCUCACUAGGUUGAAGGAUGAAUUCACAAUGUCAUUUAGGCUCUCAUGGAACAUAGCAAAGUACUCAUCAUUUCUCAUCCUUAUCUAUUCAAACCUAGUAGCCAUCAUCUACAGAUUGGAGUUCUUAACUGCCUGUGUUCCUUCAUGUGUGGUUUCUAAAAUAUCUCAAACUUCUUUCACAACCUCACACAUGGAUACUCUUCCAAACUCCUCGGGGGAAAUAGUCAUAAAGAGGGCAUGAAAGGCUUUGCUAUUCUAGUUGUACCUAUCUAGUUCUGCCCUAAACUAAUUUUUUAUGAGGUGGGAGUAAUGAAAUUGUCAACCAUGGUACUAGAGGCACAUCAACCAUUAACUACACUCAACCAAAUCCUUUCAUCAAUAGAUUUCAGGAACGCCUUCAUCUUAACUUUCCAAUAGGCAUAAUUACUAUGAUCAAAAUAGGAUGGCACUCAAUGGAGUACUCAUCUAGAAAAUGUAAGGUCAGGACAAGUGUUUAGGCUCUGAAACCACUUGUGAGUACAAGUUUGGGACGUAACACACUACUUUAACUUUUAAGAUUACCAAGUUUACAUUCCAGAUUAUCGAUUAGUUCGACCUCAAGUGCAGAAUUGUACAAACCAAAGGAAACAAGUCUCUUUUAAUUAAUUUCUAGAUGAUUAAGUAUACAAUUCAAUUAACCCUAUGUUUGAGUACCGCGGUUUGUAAUAAAUUGCUGAAAAGUAAAGAACAUGAAAUUUGAUGACGGAAAAACCCAACCUGGGAAAAACUCUAGGACUAAGCCAGUUACCUCCAUUAUAGAUAGUUCAGGGAAUAUACAACAAUUCCAAAUCUUGUACCCACUAAGACCCCCUACCACAAUCUCACGAUCUGCUGUCGUAGACACCUCUAGCCUACUAGACCUCCUGAUCUACCUCUCGGAGCCUCCUACUAGACUUUCUGAUCUAUCUGUUGCAGCCCAAUUUGCUGUCUCCUACAGCCUCCUGGUCUUAUGUUGGAUGUCUCUUCAAGUGAAAUACCAAGAAUCGCCUGUUCUUGUUCUUAUAACUACGCUUCAAUCCACCUCUCACAAUCAUCUAAUGAAAGAGUCCAUUCCUUAAAAGAUUAAGGAAGCACGGUGUUUUUGAUUAUCGAACCUUUGUUAUUUUUACAAAACUCGAUUGUCGAAUCACAAGAAUGAAUAUGAUGGAUUCACCAAUGAAUUGCGCCUUCGAUCUCUUGAACAAUGAUAUGAAAGUGUUAUAAACAUGAAAGCACAAUGAGCAACUCUGAGAAAAAUCAUUCGUAACUCUAGUAUUUGUAGUUGGGGCAAAUAGUUGUCAUGGGCCAUUUAAAAUUCUUCAAAUCAUGACCUAGGGUUUGGCCACGUGACACUAUCGCUCGAGCGACACUCUAAUGAGAAACGAGCGACAGCUUUUUCACUCGAACGACGCAGGGACAACAAGCAUGCGACAAUGGUUCUGUGUCAGCCAUUCGAGCAACAACUUGGUGAGCAACUAGCAAAGGUGAGCAACUAGCAAAAAUUCAACUAGUCUUCUCCCUUGUUCCAAAAUCAACCCUAGGCUAAACCAUCUAUACAAAUUGCAAUCCAAGUCAAUAUUUUCAAUUUAAUCCCUUUUGUUUACAAAAUCGCCAAUUGCAAUAUAAAACCUAACACUUUGUGUUAAAAAACAUAUCAAUCCAUAAAGUCAACCCACAUAGCUCAACAUAAAUGUAUCAAAAAAAAAAAAAGUUUAAAACUAAUGAACAUAUCAAUGCGAGAGUAUUGUAGAUUUUCUCAUGUCUAUAAUGCAACUUUAGCUAUUAACAUCUUAACUUAACAAUCUAAUUUGAAACAUGCAUUCUAUAACGGAAACUAACAUCAAAUUCAUAAGAAACUAAGCCCCUGUUUGUCUCCCUUUAACAUAAAACUCUUUAAUUCUAUUCAUUUUCAAUCACGUUUAUACAAUAAAAUAUUUUGCAUAUAAACCUAAUAGUUUUCCCACUUUUUAACCACAUGUUUCUCAAAAAAUCACUAUUUUUUCAAAAUAAUGGCCAUCAAACAUGGGCAAAUAUGCAAAUGCGCCUAAAUAAUUAAAUUUCAAAAGAGCCAAAUUCUUGGACAUAUUUCAAGUAUCUAAUGACACUAAAAAUCAUAUUCAAAUCAAAGUAUUAAUUUCCAAGCACAUCCCUCGUAAAAUUCCAAGCAACUUCCAUACAGGAACUCAAUUCUUGAGACAAUAAAUCACAUUGAAAUAUAUACUCUAAUUUCAAAGCAAACCUACCACCUAUUAGAGGCAAAAAUACAACUUCCUUAAAAAACCAAAUUUCUAAACCCAAAACCUUAGUUAUUGGAACAAUGGAAAAUUAUCAUACCUUUUGUUAAAAGCAAGGAGAAAAUCGAGCGAAUUUCUUGUUGGAGUUGCUUUUAGGUACAAGCUUCUUGAACUUUUUUGAUUAUUUUGUAUACUAUGAAAGAAAAAUUGAACACUAUUGUUGGAGAAAGAGAGCAGAGAAUGAGGAAGAAAAUAGUUCAUAAAACUACUGUGGGGGUUGGGUGGAUUACCAUUCGUGGAAGGAAGAGAGUACGAGGAAGAUGAAGUGGAAAUGAGGAGGAAGUAGGUGUGCAUUUCAAAUGAUGGGGUGGAGUGUGUUUGGAACGAUAUUUUCAAUUUUUUGGUCCAAGUUUUUCAACAUAUCAAGUCCAAUCUCAUGUAGGACAUGUAGGGUAUUUUUUUUUUUUAGUAUAAAAAUUCAAAAGUGACAAAUGGAAACAAAAUUAGUGAAAGUUGACAUUUUUAUAGAUGAAUUAGUGGAUUUUGACAUGUGGUGAAAUUUCCUCGAUAUAAAAAUGCAUUAACACUAGCCUUCUUUGCUCUAUAAUUUUCCUCAUCGCUGUCAAGAUUUUCGCUAAGAACAUAUCCUUUAUAAAGAUAGAAAGGUAAUAGGCAUUUUUCUGAUGGUGCGUCCAGUAACCAACUGAAGUUUUGAUGUCUAUAGACAGAAUGACAUGACCAUGCUACGUCUUUCAUUAGCACAAAAGCAUGAUUGAGUACUACUUACUCAAAUACAAAGGAAAUAUAUGAUUUUUCAUCGUAUUGACCAGUGCGAUUAUGCCACUUUUGAAUCUGGAAUGCAAAGAGAUCGAUCUGGGAUGAUGAUCUCUAAUUCCUUCUCUCAAGCUAUCGCACCUCAAAGUUUCUUCUCCAUAGAGUGCUUGAAAGAUUCGUCUCCAAGAUUAAUGGCUUGGAAAAGGUAAACUCAUUUUUCUUUCCUAGUUCUGUUUUUUGUGGCCUGUCAAUGUUCUUUUGGGCGCUAUCAAUGAUAGUGGUGACCAUUGAAAAGUGCAAUUCCUAAUUGUACAAAGCUUUCAAAUGACAUGGAAAAAUAGUACUGCAACACUAGGGUUCUAUUGAGCAUGGCCUAUUUUUCAUAGAGGUGAGUGAGGCCUGAGCAGGCCCAACAUUAGAGGGAUUUCAUUCUUUCUUUUUCUUUUUUUUUUUCCUUUUUUUUUUUUUUUUUUUUUUUUUUUUUUUUUUUUUUUUUUUUUUUUUUUGUAAAUUAGAUUCACUAUGAUUUUUUAUUAAAACUUUGGUAAAUUAGAUCCAUUUCAUUCCAUUUAUAAAUAAGUUCCAAUAAUGUUUUUAAUUGUGGGAAUUUUAUUUCUAAAUUAGGUCCAUUUCGAAUACAGCAAAAGAGGACACGAGGCAUAGGAUUUUUCAAACUCAUGUUGCAAUGAUUUCUUAAUUCUACUUAACUUGUUCAUCACAUAGUUAGUAUUUGAUUUAUUUGUUUAAAAUAAGAGAUGUUUUAUUAGACUUGGCAAAAAUUAUAUGAGAAGUAUCAGGAACAUAAUGGACGUUUGGAUAUUAAUGAAGAUGAUUUAUGUUCUGAUUUACAUGUUUUCAGGUACUAUAUACUAAGUGAAGCAACAAAAAUAAUUGAAGUGCUACAAUAUUUGAAUACAUCUCAAAUACUUAUAUUACUUUCAAAAACCACAUCUUACCUCUGAUCAAUUAUAUCACAAGAAAGAUUGGAAUGAUUGACUAUGUUAUCAAUUGAGAAAGAAAUGAUUGAACAGGUAGAUCAUUCAAAUUUCAAUAAUGUUUUUUUCUCUGAAAUUGUAAGACGAAUAGUCUCUAACUGGUUGUUUGAAGCAUUGUUGGCUUUAUUAUUUGAUUAUAAUAUAAAUCAUUUGUAUAAUACAUUUUAUUUGUAGUUUUAUUGUUAAGUUUUAAAUUAACAAGUUAACUAUUGACUCAAUAAUACACUUAUAGAUUUUGCAUACACUUAUAGAUUUUGCAUGCAUAAUUAAAAUUUUGCAGCCUAAUUUAUGAUAUUCGGCUCAGGCCUCGAAAAUCAUAGAAUCGGCACUGCUACUGAGCAGAGAAAAUUCCUACAACUAAAAUGUUCCCAGUAGCCAAAAAAGCGCAAAAGAAAAAAAAAGGUCUAACAAUUAUGACGAAAGCGUAGAUGAAGAUGUUCCCUGAACUAAACAUUCCUUGGUUUGUUGCAAAGAGAGCCAUAUAGCUAAUGCAUAGAAGAAAAAACUGACUCCUCUCUAAGAACGGUUUUGCAAAUAAAAUAAGCACAAUAAAUUUAAUUUCUAGUAUAAUUCAUUUUCCAUUUAGUAUGUAGUAGAUAGCCUAAUUCUCUAGCUUUAUUAUUUUGCCUAGAAAGUAAGAUUUCUAAUUAUUUUAGAAUAAUAUUAUUCAUAAUCAAAUACUGUAGUAGUCAUAUUAUUUGAAAGUUUGUUAUUUAUGAUAUUGAUUUUCUAUAAUUUUGUAGUCGCAAAUAACAAGUUAGUGUACCAAAUAAUAAUUUAUCACAUAAGGAUGAAUGCUACAGUCACUAAUUAUGAAUAUCAUUGCUAUUUAUUUUAUGGUAGCCAAAUCCAAUUUUUCAUUAUUUAUGGACCGAAAAUACUUCUUCCCCAUAAUUGGCUGUGGUUUACUGUGCGUAAAGAUCGACUUCUGUAGCGAUCGAGAAAAAAUAUAUAUCUUGUGUCAUUUUAAAAUAAAAUUUUCUUGUAGAGCUCGAAAAUAAUUUAAAUUAUAUUUAUUAUGCCGCUACAUCCUUCCUAAGAGUUCAAAUUAAAAUUUUCGUCACGAUGGUAAAGUUUCGCAUACUUGUUUUUAAAAAACUUUUGUAAGAUAUCAAAUUCCUCUUAAACAACGAAUUUUUUUUAUUUUGACUAUGUUAUGUAAUUGUGACGACACAUUAAAAAAAAAAAAAAAGAUUGAACCCCAACCUUAAGGGUCCCCCACCGCCCCUGCCCUGGAGUAUCGUGAGGGAGGUAAAUCGCAGGUUAUGCCUCCAAAAGUACAGGGUGGAAGGCUGAUUGUACACUUGCACUUACCCUAGAGCCAAAUCCAUAUUUCAGGAUUCGAACCCUUAAUGCGGCAGCCUCAAGUAAAGCUGGAUUUCUCCACCCUCCCCUUUUACCACUUGGAGAUGUGCCCUGGGGGGCACUUUAUAUUAAUUAUUGCUUAUAUGUUAAGUGCUUAAAUUUCGAAAAAAAAAAAGAAAAAAAAAAAGAUAAAUCGAUUAUAUUCUACCAAACAAUCCCAAUUUCAUUCCAUUACAUUUUUCUCACUCACGGUUUUUCUCCACUAAUGCAUCUCCAUUUUUUAUUUUUAUUUUUAUCCCUCAACCUAGUUUUUCAUUUCCUCCACUAGACUUGCCAUUUGAAUCACACUAAUGCCAUAAUCAUCCAAAUCAAUUAUGUUAAUUAUAAACAAAGAAAAAAACUGCUGCCAUUUAUUUGGAAAAAUAUUUGCACGCACUAAACAAAAAAGUGUUUUCACAACAUAUAAAUGGCAACAUUCAUUAAUUAAAUAUUGCUAAAAGGGCCUAUUGCAUUAGUAAGUGAAUGUUGCCAUUGGUGUUAAUAAUUGAGAUUUGACAACAUUUUUUUAAGUGAAUAUUGCUAAUGUUCUCGUUUUGCAACGUUUAUUUGAUGUUGCUACAAUUUUAUUUUUGCAACGUUUACCAAACGUUGACUUGUCAAAGGCCCUUUCACAACGUUUGAUCAACAUUGCAAAAAGUUUAUCUUUUGCAACAUUUCUCAAACAUUGCAAAAGAGAAACCUUUUUGCAACAAUUGAUAAACGUUGCAAAAAGUGUAUCUACCACAACAUUUAUCAAACGUUGCGAAAAGUUGUAAUCUUUUGUGACAUUUAAUAAACAUUGCAGAAAGUUAAACAUUAAGGUAGGUCGUGUUUUGGUUAAGAAGGCGGGUUGGGUUGAUUCAAGACCCGACCUGAACCGCACCUGCAUAGUUUGAAAGAAAAAAAGGAUUGAAAUCAAAUGUGAAUACAAUUAAAUUCGGGUUAAUAGCACAAAACAUUCUUACGUUUGACACUUCUUGUGGAAAACGUCCCCACGUUUCUUUUUUUUUUCUUUUUUUCUUUUUUUUGCAUUUUCGUCCUUAUUUUAACGUUUCACUGCAGAAAACGUCAUUUUCACCAUUUUUAAUGUAAAAUGACUAAAAUAUCCUCCUAUUUAAAUAAAAUCAAAAAAGAGAAAAGAAAAUUAAAAAAUAAAUUACAAUUAUACUCCUAAAUGUUUUAAAUAGUGCAAAUGAGACUAAAUAAUUAUUAAACGUCCCUAUGUUUGACACUUGUUGCGGAAAAUGGUGGAAAUGACGUUUUCUACCAUGAAACAUUGAAAUAAGGACGAAAAUGAAAAAAAAAAAAAAAAUGAAGACGUUUUCCACAAAAAGCAUCAAACGUAGGGACGUUUUGUGCUUUUAACCCAUUAAAUUCCAAUUACACAACCCUUAUAAUUCUCCCUCUCUCUCUCCCCUGCCGUCGUCUCUCUUCUUCUCUCUCUCGCCGUUGUCUCUCUUCCGUUCAAGAACCUAAAAGUAAGGCACUUUGGUGAUUUUCAAGGUAGCUGAAGGCUAUAUAAAGGGAAAAAAUUUGGUUAAGAGAAAACCAGUCUUUAUACAGCAACAUAGUACUCUUCUAUGGAAGAAAACACAAUACAAAGCAUGAGUUUAAAUCAAAUUCAAGUUUGAAGGAGGAUUUCUUAAGGUAAAAUUUAUUUUUCUUCAAUGCAAGAAGUAAAUCAAAAAUUCGAUUUUUCUUUGAUUAUAUCAUUUACUAAUUUCGUUUUUAAGGUGAAUGAUGAAAGGUAGUAAUAUACUUUUUGCUAUUUGUUGGUAUUUAAUUGAAUUUUUUCAGACUAAAUGCCUUAAUUAAGGAAUAAUUUUAAUUUACAUUCAAAUAAUGAGUUGACUUAAUUAUGUAGAACUGAUUAUAUUGGAGAGAGGUUAUCAAUUAAAUAAAGGGAUCCAAUCAAAUACACGGAGUUUUGUUGUUACAAAUGGAUUGUUAGAAUUACAGGAAUAAUAUGAUGAAUUUGACAAACUUGUAUUCCUUUAACUUUACCCUACAAUGCAAAACCCAAUCACUUUAUUAUACUAUUUGAGAACUAAGAUUUUGGUUAUAGUUCUACCCUGUUCUUGUUUACUUAUAGCAUAUUAUAGAUUGCUGUUUCUCAGUUUCGGAAUAUAUCCACUUAUGUAGAAGUCAAAAUUACUGGUAGCUGGUGUUGUUCUUGGGUAUGUUUGGGUAAUUAAAGUUGCCAUAUUCAUUAAAAUGAUUGUUUUUGUUUCUGUUUUUCUUUUUUUUUUUUUUUUUCAGUCCAUUAUGAGCCUGCCUUAGACUUUUGGUAUGCAAAUGAAAACACCAAACGCUCACUUAUAGAAUUUGCUAUCUAUUGUGGAGUGUCAAAUAGAAAAUUACAACCUUUCCAUAUUGAUAAUAUCCUGUUAUAGCAGUGUUUUAAUAUUGUGGAUAUUUGAUUAAGCAUGUAAAUGUUGCUAUUACAGGUAUGGAUCUUGAUGAACAAUGUGCAUACCACUUUGAGUUAAUUGUGGAUCUUGAUGAACAAUGUGCAUUUAUUGAGGUUUUUCUAAAUAUCUUUAUUGGCUAUCAUUUAUUUCAACAUUUUGGAAAAAAUGAAGUAAUGCAGUCUUUUUCAUUCUCCAGUUUUUAUCUUAUGGACAGGGUUUUGUUUCAUUACCUUGGUAAUUUUAAGUGGAAAAAAUACUUAUAUAUGAUCAUUCUCCCCUCCCUUUCUUUGUUUCUAAACAUUGUGAAUGUAAUAGAAUGUGUUGAACAUUGUGAAAAAAAUUGGUCUCUCAACAACCCCUCUAUCGACUUGGAGUUUCGAGUCAGGUGACAAUCUGUUUCUAGUUUGGUCUUAGUUGAAGUUUAUCAAACAGCAUAUUCCUCUAUUUGAAUUAAAAGGGGAUAGACUGCAACUAGAGGUAGAAAGAUGAAAGGGUAAUAUUCUAGUUCUAAAAAUAAGACUAAGAAGAACUUUCUUCAAGUUAUGGGGAUAGGAGUUUGGACAUUAAGGGGAAAAAACAUGAUUGGAGAGAAUUUGGAGCCACAACAUCGAAGAAAAAUACAAAUACCGAUGGGAUUUCAGGCAAUUAUUUAACCCGGUGACGUUAUUUUUUCAAGUUAUUAUGUAUUUUGUAAUUUUCUCCAUGCUAGGGUAGAAAUUCUUAUGCUAUGAGAUCGAUGAACCUUGUAAUGUGAUUCUUAAUUCAUUCUUUCAUAUUUUUGACAUUAAAACACGUUUGAUUAUUUUGAAUGAUUUAUAUACAUUUAAUUUCUUUCGCAAUUAAGGGCCCGUAAUUGUGUGAGUUUUGGUAACUUAUUUCUUGCAUUCGAGAGAAGGGAAAUACGUUCAACAAGGUAUAAAUCAUCGUAGGGUCUGAUAGGGGAUAAAUAUAUACCGCUAUACUCUGCGUGAAUCUUUAAGUGCUCACAAAACUACAUGAAUUCUUGUAUAUUUGCACCCGUCAUAGAGAUAUAGGCUGGUGGUAUAUGAGAGUAGGUUCAACUUUGCUCGAGAGAAACUGUUGGAUAGAUUUAGGAGCAUUGGUCCUUCAUAAUUUCAACGUAUUGUCAAAUUAUAGAACUAGGGUUGAAUUAAGCAUUGCUUGGGAAUUCGUGAUCCCAGUACAUUAUUCAAUCUCUGAAUACAUUACAUUGAGUUCUCAACAUUUAAUAGCAUUUUAGUUCAUUUAAACAUCAAUUUUCAUUUUGUUCAUUGCCUGCAUAAUUAGCUUAGGUUAGGGAGUAAUUAUAUUAUAAAAUCACUUGUCAAAAUUUAGUUUCGGUUAAGGUCUAGAAUAAAUAACAUUUAACUAACUCAAUCUCAGUGGGCGAUAUUCGGAACUUUAAAUUCCACUAUAUUACUUGUCACGAACCGUACACUUGCGAUAGUUUUAAAUCGAAAUAAAUAAUUUCGUGAACACUAGACCAGGCUGACUUAUUGGUGGAAUAUUUGAAGUUCUAUGAGAAACAUCCAAUGCCAUGGAGAAUUAUCCGUUCUCAUGUGCACAAGUUGGUGGUACAUGUUUUAAUUUUAUUUUGGAAAAUAGAAUGUGUUGAAUAUUUUACAAGUUUCGAAUUGUUGGAUCAAAGAACAGAUUUUCAGUACCGUAGUAAGCAUAUAUGAAAAAGUGCGAAUUAAUUUUAAAAAAAUAUAAAAAUGACCAAUGACAACAUUUGCAAAAUGUUGCCAAAACCUAAGGAUAAAAUAAGAUAAUGUUGCAAAAACGUUGCAAAAAAUUAACGGCAAAGUUGAAAAAACAUUGCAGAAAAGUUGACGGCACCAUUAAAAAAAUAUUGCAAAAAGUUCAACGGUUACGUUGAAAAAACACUACAAAAAUGUUAAAUUGUAAAAAAAUUAACGGUAACGCUGAAAAAUGUUGCAAAAACAUCUUCAGCAACAAUUUUUAAACGUUACAAAAAAGUCCUUUUGCAAAGGUGAAUAACUUUUGUUGUAUUCUACCCUCAACAGCAACAUCGAUCCCCACAACACAUGCUAAAACGCUGCAAAUGACCUUCUGCUAUGUUUUUUUACUGCUGCAAAAGCCCUUUUUUUGGUAUAGUGACGUUUAUAACUUCUAUUUCAAAUGAAAACUAUAACCUAAAAGUCCAUGUAUACACCAUUAACAUUUCACUACCAUUGUUUUUAAUCCCAUUUUAGUUAAUAACAAUCACCAUUAUAAUCUUGGAACUGAAAAACAAAAAUCUCCUACAACCUCUUAAGCUACGUUUUCUCUCCCAAACUAUUAUACCUAUACAUAAAAUUAUUUUGCCCUUUUUCCAUAAACACAAGGCACUUGAAUUUGAAAAUUUUCUAAAGAAGAGAUAAAGAGUAUGCUGGAUUUUGUUACAUAUUGAGUGCAAAAGGAUAUACAAACUCCAAGUAGUUAAGUUAGGGAUCUUUUGACACUUUUCUAAGGGGAGUAAAAAAAUUUGUUGUUUUCGAUUCGCAUUAACGUGUUAUUGUUUUACUCAUGAGAGAAUGGAAGCACCCUUUGGUGUUUCAACUAUAAGAUGAAGAGGAAACACCCUUUGGUAUUUCAACUAAGAGAUGAAGAGGAAGCACCCUUUGGUAUUUCAACUAGAGAUGAAUUUUGAUUCAUGAAAAGGGAUUGUUAAAACCUAAGAGUAUGCAGACUAUUUGAUCUUCGGUUCGCUUUAAAAUUGACGGUGACGCAAAUAACCAAAGAUUGCAAUUUUAGAAAACAUAUAUUUCUUAUCAACUAACCUGAAUUUAUAGGUUAGCUGAUGGGAUGGCAGUGGCUUGACAUGGUGGCAAGUGAUCGGUGAUUUGAAAUGCUCUCAACUUUCUAGAAGAAAGAUUUCCAGUUGUGUAUACCUUUUCUGAACAUUUAGAUGGCACUUUUAAAAUGUUUAAUUUUCUGAGCCGUCUAGUUUAAUAUACAUUUCAUGUCAGCCAUAAUUUGAAAAUACUGAAAUGACUAUGCAUAAAGUUUAUUUGUUGCUAGAUUGAAUUUGAGAUUAUGUCCUUCCAUUUGGAAAUGGUAUAGCUUGGGCCAUGGUGCAUGUUUUGAAGUGAAAUUAGUGGUUUCACUGGUCUAUGAGUCUUCUCAUGGUAGUCUUUUGGAAUUACCUUAAAAUAUUAUCUAAAGAAAAAGUUAUGUCCAUUUUUGUAAACUGCGUCGAGUCAGCUCCGAAUUUUCUGUCCAGCAUAGUCGAACAAUUUUUUCAUGCUUCAAACAUUACCGUCGAGACCCCAAUUUUUCAUAUGAUGUAGGUAUAUGAAUGUCAUAGUCUCUGUUAAAAUUUCAUAAUUUUUAUUCAAUGUUUUCCAUGUCAAACAUAUUUUCUCUUUCCGCAGUUGCGUACUGAUAUUUGCUAAAUUUCCUCCAACUGUUUUCCAAAAUCAAAUUCCACCAUAAUUGUCUAAAGACUAUAUGGACAAAUAUCUCGCAUUUUAUGGAGUAAAAGCGGGAGAUUGAUGGGUUAAAACAAAACUUAGCUACUCGGGCUAUACCUCAAGCAUCUCAAGUUUCACCAGUCUCCCAUGCACUGUCGGUGCCACCAACAUACUCGACAGCACUGCCUAUUCCGACGGUAGAACAAUCUCGUAGAUAUCAACCCCCUACAUUUGAUGGUGGAAAGGACCCACUAGCAGUUGAUGAGUAGUUGCGUACUAUUGAGAAGAUCUUUCGGCACAUCUCUUGUCCAAAAAAUCAAAAAGUAUUAUGUGCAGAGUUUAUGUUAAUCGGAAGAGUAGACCAUUGGUGGGAAUCUGCGUCACGCAUUCACACUAAGGAGGAACAACGUAGCCUAACUUGGGAUCAGUUCAAAAUGGAACUAAUUGAAAAAGUUUUUCCAUAAGCUAUGUGAGACUAUAAGGAGACAGAAUUCUUAAGACUAGUACAGGGAGAUAUAGAACUUUCUGAGUAUGAGAGCAAGUUCGAGAAAUUAUCCCGACAUGCCUCAUAUCUUGUGAGUACUGAACUCAUAAAGGCAAAACAUUGUGAAAGUGGCCUACACUUGGAGAUCGGGCAAAUUAUGAAUUCAAACAAUCUUACAACUUUACAGUCAGUGGUAAAGAAAGCUCAAAUAAUGACCUAUUCAAGGUGAUGUAGGUAAAUCAAGGAUAGCAUAAGGACUUUGAAGAAGGAAGUGGCAGGAUAAGAAUAAGAAUACGGGACAGUUUAAAAAGUAGACACAUGUGGGUCAGCCAAGCAAUCCUUUAUCCCAAUGUCUUAAGUGUAACAAGUUUCACAAAGGAGAAUGUCUGUAAGGAAGGUAUAUCUUCUAUAAGUGUGGUCAACUCGGCUAUGUAGCUUCUUCGUGCCCAUUGAUUAAGAAAACCGGGGAAGAGAAAAAAGGAAAAUCAAUGGUGUUCGCUUUGACUCACGAUGAGGCUGCUCAAAAUUUAGACAUGAUCCCAACUAUUUUAUCUGUCGCUAGUAUUUCUGUUUACGUCCUGAUUGAUUCCGGUAUAACACAUUCAUUCAUAUCUAGCUAAGAUUAGUGCUUCAUGUCAGAAUAAUGAUAGUGUACUAGAUGUUAAUAUGCCAUUAGGGGGAACUAUUGAUACAAAUAGGAUAGCAAGGAGAGUACUGAUAAAUUUUGAUGGACCGACUUUAGAGGUCGAUUUGUAUGUUAUAGAGAUGAAAUAUUUUGAUAUUAUUUUAGGUAUGAAUUGAUUAGGCGCGAAUUGAGCCACUAUAGUAUGUUUUGAGAAAGACGUAAUUUUUUGAAGAUCGGGAAAAGAGGAGUUCAGAUUUUAUAGAUAGAAGAUUAAGGCACUUCCUCGCAUCAUCUCAUCUUUAAAAAUAGAGAGCAUGUUAAAAAAAAACUGACUGUUAAGAAUAUCUUGUCAGUCUUAUUAGCACCUCAACUCAAGAGAAAGUGUUAGAUGAUAUGUCAAUGAUACAGGAGUAUGCUGAUGUGUUUCCCGAUGAUCUACAACUUUCGCACGAAGAAAGUGACAUGCCAUACUUCCUUGCUCACGCGUUUCUAUUUUAUUGGAUUUUAUGGUAUAUUCUCAUUUUUAAAUCGAUCCUGUAGAGCAAAUAAAUAUCAAGAAAAUUUGUAAUUCACAACAUGGGGCCGAUUGACAUAAUUGAUAAUUGAUAUGGCACAGUAGUACGGGGAAUAGUCUCAAUUUUGGAAUUGACUUGUAGACAGAAGUUGUAGUCUAGCCAAUAGACCCAUAGACUGGGCAUUUGAUUGUUUGGAAUUGAAACCCACUUGGGUGAAUAAAAGUCUUGGUCUUCAGCAUAUUUAUCCCAUGUUAGACGGUGGUUUUUUUUUUUUUUUUAAUAGAAUGAAUUUUUUGAGAAUGUACGGUUAAAAGUGAAAAUUUUUAAUUUUCAUGAAUAAUUUUUGUUGUAAAAAUAUAUGAUUGACAAUAAGUUUGAUUUGAAAUAUAAUUAAUAGGAAGAGUCUUUUAGCCAAUGUUAUCAAAACCAAUCAAAUUGGGAGCUGGCUAUGGAGCCAGGUCAGAUACAUGUACAAACCCUUCUUGUUGUACAAGUAGGGGUGAACUCCUACCAAACACUCACAUGGGACCCCAUGUGAGUAAGGUCCCAUGUGAGUAAAAAGUUGGGAAAAAUAUCCACACCACCCACCUCAUGUGAGUAAUUACGUACAUGUUCUGUAAACAAUAAAUCUGUAUGUACACGUAAAUAACCUAAGGGUUAAAAAUUGCUUGAAAACUCUCGGAACCAGUAAAAUGGACAUGAUUUCGAUGACUUUUCUAGUUCAACGACGGUAUCUCUUUUGAGCUUCAGUAAAAAUCUUUGGUUCAACUAAGUGAUUUUUCUGGUUCAACUAUGGCAUUUUUAUCAUACCUUUAGUAAAAAGCUUUAAGCUUCUUUUUCGUUCACUAUGGCUUCUCUUCUUCAAAUCCAUACAUUUUUAUCUUCAUUUUUCUUUGAAUCUUCCCCAUACAGCUUCACCAUUUUCUCUUUGUGUUUUUUCUUUUUUCUUUCCAAUGUAAGAUUUAUGGCUUGAAAAAAUUGAUUCUUGCUGUUGAUACGUGGGUCCUGUGCAAUUAAUUAUGUUUUGUUGAACAGUUUCUGAAUAUGAUUGCAAGCCACCCGCCAACUAAUUUGUGUUUUUUCUUCCGUUUAUAUUUAGCAAUUUCGUCGAAUUGUCAAGGGAUUUUUUUUUUCUCCUAAUCAGAGGUAGUUUUUUCUUUGAAGAAGGCAAGUGAUGGUGUAUUUGGCAAUUGACUAUUAUGUAUAACAUGCAUGAGGGUCGAACGCUGCAAUGGGCAGAUUCUCUGCAAGAAAUUAUUUAUUUUAAAAUCCCUUCUGCAUAGUAUCAAACUUUGAUAAAAAUCUAAUUUUAAUUAAGAUCAAACGGGGGUUUAAUAUUAUUUUAUUUUUAUUUUUUCAUAAAUGAGAUAUUAAUAAAUAUAUGUAUUUUAUAUUGACAUUUAUUUGUAAUCAUGCUAAGAAUCAAAAACCAACAAAACAUAAAUUUAAAAAUUGAAUUUAUACCUGAGAAGCUAUCGUUAAUAUGAAUAAUAAUAGCCAAAUCUUCCCCUCAUUACUCCUCACAAAAGUGUUGGCCAUCAAUAGGAUAAGCCAAUAAAACCAUAUGAAGAGGAGAUGAGACCUAGCCUUUAUAUAGAAAAUAACUGAGUCGUCCCAUUACGAUUAAAAUUAUAAUUAGGUUUUAUUUUCGACCCAUAUACUUAAAAUUACAACUUCAUAUUAAUUACAACUCGUAAGGUGUAAAAGACCUAAUUGAUCACUUAAUAAAUUUGGUCCAAACACAAAUAUCAUUAUGAGCCAUACAUUUAGCCCGUAAAAUUUGCAAUCGAAUGUAAAUUCCACGUAUGGAAUUAUUCCAACAUUUUAUACACAUAUUUGUCCAUAUAUGUGCGUUUAGACAGAGUGCAUUUGGCUGUUGAUUAAGAAAUGUGAAUGGGAUUCGUAAGAGAAAGAAUGGUCUUCUUAAUUUAUUAUUAAAGAAUGAUUAGAUUCGUAGUCCACUGCCCAAUAUUUAACAACAAAAUAGACACUCUUAAAUAACUUUCUAUUUCAAGUUUAAAAUAAUUUAUUGUUUAUUUUAUCAUCGGUUUGUUAUCAGUUCAAACCUUUAAUCCUCGACUCCUUAUCUUUUUCAAGUCGAUGUCUAGUCUGAUUUAUAAAAUAUUGCUUUUAGGUUAUGGAAUGUUUUAAUAGUCAUGUCUAUAUUAUGAAUGGACAAUAUAUUGAAGUUCAAUCAAGGUUUUUUUUUUAUUAUUGUACCCAUACAAAUAAAACCUUGGAAUUUUUAGCUCUUGAAGAACACUGUAGAAGGCCGGAGUGUUUCAAAAUGCAAUCAAGAAAAAAAAAACGCAAAUAAAUCUUUGUAAAGUACAGUAAAAGGGUAAUUUCAAAACAUCUACAUGUAAGAAAAAAAUGAUUUUUUGAGAAUAGAUUUUGUGAAAAAAGAUUUUUUGGUGAAUAUGUGGUUAAAUAGUAAGAAAAAAUUUGAUUAUUUUACCCAUACAAAUAAAACCUUGGAAUUUUUAGCUCUUGAAGAACACUGUAGAAGGCCGGAGUGUUUCAGAAUGCAAUCAAGAAAAAAAAAACGCAAAUAAAUCUUUGUAAAGUACAGUAAAAGGGUAAUUUCAAAACAUCUACAUGCAAGAAAAAAAUGAUUUUUUGAGAAUAGAUUUUGUGAAAAAAGAUUUUUUGGUGAAUAUGUGGUUAAAUAGUAAGAAAAAAUUUGAAUUUACAUGUAAAAUUAUUCUAUUCUCCUUUACUAGGAGAAUAAAAUAAAUUUUAAAAAGGGAGGAUCAAACAAGCCCUAUUAAUAAAUACUCUACACUUACUUUGAUUUUGUACAUACCAUGAGCAGUGCUCUCAUCAUAAGGGCUCAUAGGAUAGCUUUUCAUUUGAUUAAUUCAGUGAUAUCUAUGCAACUAUUGAAGCAGUAAAUUCAAGACAACAAAAGAUAUUUAGCAGUCUCAAUGUGUUUAGAAAGCUCAAGAAGACAAAAACAAAACAAUAAAUUAAACCUUAUUCUCAAUAAUUCGGAUCGACUAUAUGGAAUCCCUUUCACCAGUUCAUCAGGCUCAUUGCUAGACUUACAGAAAGAUCCAAAUCAGCAGAAUGCAUGGCUAAAAAUUGCCCAGGGCGGCUAAUGAAGUUAGGCAUUUAGAAAAUGUCAUUCUCAUAAUAGAAUAUGAUAAGAUUUAUGACUUUUCAAGCAUACUGAAUAAGCCCAAAAUACCUCUUACAGAUGUACAUUCCUGUAAGCCCUUGUAUUUUGUUUGUAUAGCCUCUUCCCACGGAGUGAUUAUCUGUCAAGAAAAUUGAGCAGACAUUGAUGGAUUAAAAUUCAAACAAUGACCCAUUCUCUUCAAACAAUGACCCAUUCUCUUCAAACCCUCUAUAAAAGAGGGAAUCAACAACAUAAUUUGAUAGCUUAUUCUUAUUUUCUCACUUCAUGGCUGGUUUCAGAAAUCAUUUCACUAUUGAAAUGGCUCUAGUUGGGCUUCUCAUAUUGGCUGUCCUAGAUUUCACAGGUCUUUUUCUCUUUCCCUCUUAAUUAGAGCAUGCUUACUGUGUAGUACUAGAUUAGAUUACAAAGUAUAACAAAUGAGAUUUUAGCUUCUUUUUCUCGUUAAUAUUGUUUUGUACAUUCCUAUCUACCUUCCCAAACACGCCAUUAAGUUUAACGACGAUAUAUGUCACGCCUAGCAGCAUAAUCUGCAGAUUAUGAAUUCAAAUAUUACGUGCUUAGUCCUGAUAUUAUUUUGUAUGAGCACUUCUCAAUAAUUUGUGUAAUAAUAGGCUUAUUUUAUGUUCAUUAUGAUACAGUGGCUCAGACAGGGGUUUGUUAUGGAAGGAACGGGAAUGGAUUACCACCUCAAGCAGAAGUCAUCGCGCUAUACAACCAGAAUAACAUCCGAAGAAUGAGAAUCUACGACCCAGAUCAGGCUACUCUUCAGGCACUUGGAGGCUCCAACAUUGAGCUCAUACUAGGCGUCCCAAACCAGGAUGUCCUUCAGAAUCUUGCUGCUAGCCAAAGUAAUGCAGAUACUUGGGUUCAAAACAAUGUAAGAAACUAUCCUAAUGUCAAGUUUAGAUACAUUGCAGUUGGAAACGAAGUGAGUCCCUUGAAAUCGGACACAUCUCAGUAUGUACCGUUUGUCCUCCCUGCCAUGAGAAAUAUUCAAACUGCAAUUUCUGCAGCUGGACUUGGGAACCAGAUUAAGGUUUCUACUUCCAUUGAAACUGGUAUGAUCGAAAAUUCUUAUCCC
rnacentral:lncRNA from 1 species